rnacentral:rRNA from 6 species
GUGAGACAGGUGCUGCAUGGCUGUCGUCAGCUCGUGUUGUGAAAUGUUGGGUUAAGUCCCGCAACGAGCGCAACCCUUAUCCUUUGUUGCCAGCGGUCCGGCCGGGAACUCAAAGGAGACUGCCAGUGAUAAACUGGAGGAAGGUGGGGAUGACGUCAAGUCAUCAUGGCCCUUACGACCAGGGCUACACACGUGCUACAAUGGCGCAUACAAAGAGAAGCGACCU